GGGGUGGUGAUUGCUCUUCGUCAAUUGAAUGUCAGAAAAAUUUAGAGUGUGACUCCAGUGACACGUGUGUCUGCGAAAGUUCGACGUACUGGAAUGGCAUAAAUUGUGUGAAAAAUCUACCAUCUGAAUGUGAAGACAUUGACAUCGACAACGAUGGUGUGUAUACAGUACCCUAAAGGAAAGACAUCAUCGAGAAGAAUAUCUGUAUACUGUGUAGUAACGGGGGAGAAGAAAUGGACGGUUAUACAAAGGCGGUUUGAUGAUUCUGUCGAUUUUUACAGAACGUUGUCUGAAUACACCAAAGGAUUCGGAAGAGUUGAUAAAGAGAAUUGGUUAGG